UACGUAUGGUGCAAGCGUUAUCCGGAUUUACUGGGUGUAAAGGGAGUGUAGACGGAGUGGCAAGUCUGAUGUGAAAACCCGGGGCUCAACCCCGGGACUGCAUUGGAAACUGUCAAUCUAGAGUACCGGAGAGGUAAGCGGAAUUCCUAGUGUAGCGGUGAAAUGCGUAGAUAUUAGGAGGAACACCAGUGGCGAAGGCGGCUUACUGGACGGUAACUGACGUUGAGGCUCGAAAGCGUGGGGAGCAAACAGG
rnacentral:rRNA from 1 species